rnacentral:rRNA from 1 species
CACGCCGAAAGACCAAGGUUUCCUGCGCAACGUUAAUCGACGCAGGGUUAGUCGGCCCCUAAGGCGAGGCAGAAAUGCGUAGUCGAUGGGAAACGGGUUAAUAUUCCCGUACUUCUAGUUACUGCGAUGGAGGGACGGAGAAGGCUAGGCCAGCACGGCGUUGGUUGUCCGUGUUUAAGGUGGUAGGCUGGUUUCUUAGGUAAAUCCGGGAGAUCAAGGCCGAGAGCUGAUGACGAGCGUUCUUUUAGAAUGCGAAGUGGUUGAUGCCAUGCUUCCAGGAAAAGCUUCUAAGCUUCAGGUAACUAGGAACCGUACCCCAAACCGACACAGGUGGUUAGGUAGAGAAUACCAAGGCGCUUGAGAGAACUCGGGUGAAGGAACUAGGCAAAAUGGCACCGUAACUUCGGGAGAAGGUGCGCCGGUGAGGGUGAAGUAUUUACUACGUAAGCCCAUGCCGGUCGAAGAUACCAGGCCGCUGCGACUGUUUAUUAAAAACACAGCACUCUGCAAACACGAAAGUGGACGUAUAGGGUGUGACGCCUGCCCGGUGCCGGAAGGUUAAUUGAUGGGGUUAGCGCAAGCGAAGCUCUUGAUCGAAGCCCCGGUAAACGGCGGCCGUAACUAUAACGGUCCUAAGGUAGCGAAAUUCCUUGUCGGGUAAGUUCCGACCUGCACGAAUGGCGUAACGAUGGCGGCGCUGUCUCCACCCGAGACUCAGUGAAAUUGAAAUCGCUGUGAAGAUGCAGUGUAUCCGCGGCUAGACGGAAAGACCCCGUGAACCUUUACUAUAGCUUUGCACUGGACUUUGAGCUUGCUUGUGUAGGAUAGGUGGGAGGCUUUGAAGUGGGGACGCCAGUUCUCAUGGAGCCAACCUUGAAAUACCACCCUGGCAACCUUGAGGUUCUAACUCUGGUCCGUUAUCCGGAUCGAGGACAGUGUAUGGUGGGUAGUUUGACUGGGGCGGUCUCCUCCCAAAGAGUAACGGAGGAGUACGAAGGUGCGCUCAGACCGGUCGGAAAUCGGUCGUAGAGUAUAAAGGCAAAAGCGCGCUUGACUGCGAGACAGACACGUCGAGCAGGUACGAAAGUAGGUCUUAGUGAUCCGGUGGUUCUGUAUGGAAGGGCCAUCGCUCAACGGAUAAAAGGUACUCCGGGGAUAACAGGCUGAUACCGCCCAAGAGUUCAUAUCGACGGCGGUGUUUGGCACCUCGAUGUCGGCUCAUCACAUCCUGGGGCUGAAGCCGGUCCCAAGGGUAUGGCUGUUCGCCAUUUAAAGUGGUACGCGAGCUGGGUUUAGAACGUCGUGAGACAGUUCGGUCCCUAUCUGCCGUGGACGUUUGAGAUUUGAGAGGGGCUGACCUUAGUACGAGAGGACCGGGUUGGACGAACCUCUGGUGUUCCGGUUGUCACGCCAGUGGCAUUGCCGGGUAGCUAUGUUCGGAAAAGAUAACCGCUGAAAGCAUCUAAGCGGGAAACUUGCCUCAAGAUGAGAUCUCACUGGAGCCUUGAGCUCCCUGAAGGGCCGUCGAAGACUACGACGUUGAUAGGUGGGGUGUGUAAGCGCUGUGAGGCGUUGAGCUAACCCAUACUAAUUGCCCGUGAGGCUUGACCAU